CACCACCACACCUGGCUAAUUUUUUUAUUUUUAGUCAAGACGGAGUUUCUCCGGGUUGGUCAGGCUGGUCUUGAACUCCUGACCUCAGGUGAUCCGCCUCCCUGGGCCUCCCAAAGUGCUGGGAUUACAGC